UUAUGACCAUAACACGUUGAAACACCGGGUACUGUAAGAUCACCGAAGUUAAGCAACGCCAAAACUGGUUAGUAUCCAGAUGGGUGACCGCUUGGGAAUACCAGGUGCUGUAA